AAAAAAAGAAAAGAAAAAAGAAAGAAACGUUUGCUUUCCACGCCGUCGUCGCCUAAGGGGAAUAAAAAGAAUUCGGAGGCUGCAUAAAACUGUAAUUAUGAUGCAACACAGCCAGGAGAGCUAACAAAGAAUCUGCUUUCCCUUUGUGUUGUUAACUGAGUUAGUUCUUCCAACUUUCUGCUGCUGACAAUGGUAACACUGGGCUUCGCUGAAUGCUGGGUGGACAGGCUACUUAACAGAGAUGCACGACUGGUCAACAUAUAGAAAAAUAAAGGACUAUGGAAAGCUCAGCCCUAAAUGGAACAUCUGUGUCACGCCCUGUGCUCCCAAGACUUAUGACUCAUCGUGGAAGAAGGGGCAGAAUGACUGAGAGCCAGAGGUAGUGGACAUCUGGCAAAACGUUGUUCUCCAGAUAUGACAAGGCUGUAACACACAGGCUUCAGCAGCUUU
rnacentral:lncRNA from 1 species